GAUGAACGCUAGCUACAGGCUUAACACAUGCAAGUCGAGGGGAAACGAUAUUGGAAGCUUGCUUCCAAUAGGCGUCGACCGGCGCACGGGUGAGUAACGCGUAUCCAACCUGCCCACCACUUGGGGAUAACCUUGCGAAAGUAAGACUAAUACCCAAUGACGUCUCUAGAAGACAUCUGAAGGAGAUUAAAGAUUUAUCGGUGAUGGAUGGGGAUGCGUCUGAUUAGCUUGUUGGCGGGGUAACGGCCCACCAAGGCGACGAUCAGUAGGGGUUCUGAGAGGAAGGUCCCCCACAUUGGAACUGAGACACGGUCCAAACUCCUACGGGAGGCAGCAGUGAGGAAUAUUGGUCAAUGGGCGAGAGCCUGAACCAGCCAAGUAGCGUGCAGGAUGACGGCCCUAUGGGUUGUAAACUGCUUUUAUAAGGGAAUAAAGUGAGUCUCGUGAGACUUUUUGCAUGUACCUUAUGAAUAAGGACCGGCUAAUUCCGUG
rnacentral:rRNA from 1 species